rnacentral:lncRNA from 1 species
GCCUGAUCUUGGCAGACAAAGGAGUUGACCUCCAGGUCUUUGACCCUUUGCAGGCUGUUUGCAGAGGUAUGCCCGUGCUGACCAUGCUCCUGCAGAGGAUGCAUUUGGUUUGUGUUUACUUCAUCCUUUUCUUAAGUGGAAGUGGUGAGAGGCUUGAUGUAAUGCUGUUCAGAGAUGUAGGAGGUGAUAUUUCACUGCUGAGGAUGCUUGAACCUCCUGCCCUCACCUCUGCCAAGCCAUGGCUGCAAGCUGGAUGCAAAUACCUGCAGUCUGAUGAAAUGCAGUGCUCUCUUCCUGCUAAGGAAGACAAGUGGCAGGUGAUCACAGAGGGUGUGGAGCUGUUCUGCAAAAAGUCAAGAGAUUGCAUCCAGCUGCAUGUCUUUCAGUAUUAUUUGCCAUUCCAGCUGGAUGGCUAUGGAUGCUAACUUUGAAUCAGGGAGCACGGUGCCUGUGGAAUAGCAGGCCACAUAACUUUCUCAGUCUUGCCUGAGAAAGUGGCCUGGGAAAUCAUAAGGAGGAAUUGAAACAAUCCUCAGAGACAGAAAACAGCCUUGCAGGUGCUGUUAGUCAGUUCCUUGUUUUCUUGUAAGAGAAGGUCAAGGGGUGGUGAACCCCACUGACCAAUGAUGAUGAUGUGUUAGUUUACUAACCAAUAAAAGUUUUUCUUUUCUGUACUUUCA